rnacentral:snRNA from 1 species
GUAUUCGUUUCGGUGGUAUAUAUAUAAUGACAUUGGAACGAUACAGAGAAGAUUAGCAUGACCCCUGCUCAAUUAUGACACUCAAAAUCGUGAAGUGUCCCACAUUUUU